rnacentral:lncRNA from 1 species
AAUUUAGUGCUUAUUAAUCCUUCUUAGGAUGUAAUUCGGUGAAAGAACUGCUUUAAAAAAAAUUCUUUUCUGCAUUAUAGACGGAUCUAACAACGCAGUCUGGGCUCCGUGCCAAAGGCUGGUAUUUCACAGCAGCGACCGCCUUACAGAUGAGCUGUGGGAAGCAGGAGGGAGACUCUCUUAGGGUGCCACUACUAUGGAGACACAGCUGGGCUGAACAAGAUUUGCUUCAAACGACAACAAGAGAGACAGAAAGUGUCUGGUUCGACCGCUGCCCAAGCAGGCAGUAACCAGAAGAGCUAGCAGCCAAUCCGGCCAUGCUGCACUGUUCGAAACCAGCUCUACAUCCCAGCCAAUCAGUGACAUCACUGGAAGAUGCUGGAAGCCAAAGUAAGCAAUGAGAGAGGGCAAAUGGUGCUGGCUUGUUCUCAGCUCCCUGAUGCAGAAGCUUCUGCCUACGCAUUCGGGAAACUGGAUGUUUUUCUGCAGAGAUUAUUUUCAAAUGACUUGUGUUGCCUUUGCUUGGCUGAAAUGUGGCAGCAAUGGAGAGGAGCCAAUGGAGUGGUAAUCUUACAGCCAGCAAUCAGGAAAAGGAAGAGCCCUUAGCCAGGGAAGUCAACAGUGCCAGGAGGAGCCAUUAUUCUAUUAUUGUUUCCAGUGUGUAGGCAUUGUUUUAAGUUACAUUAAAAACAUCCUUUAAAUGUCUUUGUUAUUUGUGUCGUAAAUUUUCCAUAUCAACCUUUCAAAAAAAAAAAAAAAAGUGUAUGACUCUCUUAACACAUUUCCAAAUGGAGAGUUUGGGUGUAUCUAGCUUUAAAGAAGUGUAGGUUAAAGGGGAAACAUUAGAUUAAAAGUAAUUUCUUGUAUUUGGAGUGCCUGGAAGAUCACAAAGAUCAGGAGAACAUGGAGUGCAUUCCCUAUUUCCUAACACUUGCUGGGAGCAACGCUCUGCACAGCCUGGACAUUGUCUUUUUACUUGUUCUAGUAUUAGGGGCAUCAACUGUGUAAUUUAAGG